rnacentral:pre_miRNA from 1 species
GUUGCCUGGGGAUCUUGUUAAAAUGCAGAUUCUGACUCAGCAGGCCAGGAGCAGCAGAGAUUCUGCAUCUCUAACAAGCUCCCUGGUGAUGCUGA